CUAUAUUCAAAGGUGAGAAUUUUCAAAUUGUUAGCGAUAAAGUGACACGAUUACAUUCAGUUUAUACAUAUGUGUCUAUUUUGUAGAUGGAGAGAACCAAUAUGAAAAAAAGGUGACAAAGAAGUUACACAUGAAGGUGAUGAUUUUGGUAAUGUUUCAGCAAAGAAGGCAAAUGAAACUACACAAUUUCAAGAUUGGAUGGAAGUUAAUAGUAAGAUCAGAGAGAAUACAAAUAGUAAACAUGAAAAUUACUCAAGUACAAAAGAACUUUUUUAUCUGAGUCUUCUUUUAAACAAGAUCAAAGGUUCGACCAGUUACGAGGAUAUACGAACUGUUAAUGGGAUUUUGUAUACUACAUUUGAAGAUGCUUAUAAUGCUCUUCUUAUUUGAACUAUAUUUUUUUCAUGAUAAAUUUUACUUAUUUUUUAUUUAUUUAUAGCAAACAAAGUGGAAACUUAUUAAAAAAACAAAUAUCUGACUUCAACAAUAUAAACUUUUCAACUAACGAAGAUAUACAGAGUAAUACUAAAUACAUGCUGGUUUGAUAUGGUUGGAAAUUAAAAACUAUGAGUGCUGUUUUGCAAAGAAUAGUAUACUCUUACAAAACGGUUUCUACGGAUCAAAUACAAAAUUUCUAAAUAUAGUGUAUGUAAUUGUAUUAAAACUAAUAUAAUAAAGUUUAGAUAAAAUACCAACUCAAUAAAAUUAAAUUAACAAUUACAAUAGAUAAACAUAGAAUAACUACCCACUACUUAUCCCCCAAACCUUUAAGCCUAAUUAUUCUCAACUGAACACACGAUAGCUUUACCUUUCCCGUUCUCUUUAUCACCACAGCUUCACCUUCUUUUUUUCCACCAUUGUUUCAUCUCUAUUUUUUUUCCUCACCAUCGUAGCCAAAACACUCUUCACAGGUUUUUGCUUUCUAUCAAUAUUCUUAGAACACUUCUUUUCUUCUUAUCUAAUACAUCAUCCACUCUCUAUUUAUGCAGAGUGUAGGUUGAAGAUGCCACUGGAGUAUACUCUUCCUUCCCAGCUCAAUUCAUCUAAAAAAGAAUGGAAAAUCCGAGUGUUGGUCUCACGGGUAUGUAACUACUACUCCAAAAAUAAACCUAAAGUUGUUCUCAGGAUGGAAGCUAUCCUUGUGGAUGAAAAGGUGUAUACACUUUGAUAUCUAAAAAUAUUUUGUAGAAACCGUUUGAGUAGUGUCUAAUCUUUAAUCUUUAAUCUUUCACACUUGACAGGGAGAAAGGAUUCAAGCUUCUAUUGAACAGAAAUUGAUUAAAAAUUUUGGAAGGAUCUAAAAGAAGGAGAGUAUCUAGAUAUCAUGAAUUUUGAAGUGUUGGGUAACAAUGGUGAUUACAGAGGAACCACACACUCUUACAAGAUAAGUUUUAUAUGGACUACAUAUAUGAAGACCUCUGAGCAGAUCCCAAAUCUAUCCCGCUUCAACUUAAGCCCUUUUCCAGAUAUUUCAUCUCAGUCCAAUGUUGAUGAUGUCUUCAUAGACAUACUGGGUGAAAUCACUGAGAGAAAGUAUGCAGGACAUUCAACAAAACUUUUGGAUAUUCAACUACGAGAUCUGAGUGAAACAAUCAUUGAAUGCACUUUAUGGGAAAACCAUGUUGAGGAUGUGCACUCUUAUGUGAAGAAAAACAAAACUGGUCCAGUUAUAUUGCUUGGAAGUCUUAUGAGGACUAAAAAAUUCAACGGUAAAAUAUCAGUUCAAAACUCAUACAAAGUUUUUUUCUGAAUGAAGAUAUAGAUGAGAUAAGUGAAUUUAAGAAAGGAAUGGUGAACACUGAUAAUUUGGCUCCAUGUACGGUUACUCAAAUGAUAAAACCCACUUCAAAUAAAGUGAUAAUCGUUGAUGAUUUCCCAUUAAGCUGUUUCAAAACAAUCGAUUAGCUCAUGUGCAUCGAGGAAAGUACUUGUGUUAUGUUCGCAUCUAUCUUAGCAAUUCAAAAGGGAAUUCCUUGGUUCUAUGUUGGGUGCAAAGGCUGUUGUGGGAAAACUACACCAUAUUUCAACCCAGUGACUGAAAAAAUUGAAACCACCAAAUAUGCAUGCGACGCUUGCGAGAAAGAUGAACACCUGAGGAAAACUACACCAUAUUUCAACCCAGUGACUGAAAAAAUUGAAACCACCAAAUAUGCAUGCGACGCUUGCGAGAAAGAUGAACACCUGAUGAUGGUGUUCAAUCAUUCUCAUGAAAUCAGAUAGAUUGAAAAAACAAGAUUGAAACAAGAUUGAAACCAAACUCAUAGGUCUGUUUUGUUUGGGACUUAAAAUAGAUUUACUCAUUUACAUACAAAUUAUCAUUUCGCUUGGUCUUCUUCCUUUUUAUUGUCCAACGGUUUUAGGUAGUUAAUCAAAUUCCGUAAUUUGAAACCGCCAUGUCUCAACUUAUAAAUACUAUUGAUUCUCACACCUUUCUUCCCGGUUUCAAUUUCUAUUAUUUCUCAAAAUGUGUGAUAAUAAUCUAAGCUUUUUGCAAGAUAUUGAAUCUUGGCAGGAUGAAAAGCCAACCGUUGUGCCCCCUUUAAUGUGCGCCGAAGCCGUGCUGAACCAUUUUUCCAUUGUUGGCAUACUUGUUAACCCAGAGAAACAAAGUAUGAGUGUGUUGAUUAACCAGAUGCCUUGCAUUUGGGGCAUAACUGAUGAAGUCAUUGGUCGGGUUAUUGACUCCCGAAAGUUCCAGUUUGUGUUCAAGACAAAGGACGCCAUGUACAGAGUUAGGUUGAUCGUUUUGAAGCGUUGGGCUCCCACCGUUACUGAAGAAAGCUUAAAGAAGGUUCAGUUCUGGGUUCUGAUAAGGGGAAUCCCUCCUCAUUAUCUAUCGAGAGCAAUAGUCGAUUUCGUUGGGGACAAACUUGGACAAGUUGUUGACGUUGAAUUUGACGACUCAACAAACCUUACAAAUUAUGUAUGGGUUCUGGUGAACUGGAACAUUGACAAACCGUUGCGUUUUUAA